rnacentral:tRNA from 1 species
GGGCGGUUAGCUCAGUUGGUUCAGAGUAUCUCGUGUACACCGAGGGGGGCGGGAGGUCGAGUCCUUCACUGCCGA